AAGAAGCAGAAAAAGAAUGUAACUUCUGCAGUGCUUUUUCUUUCCAAAAAUAAAGCAAGGUUUGUAGAUACCACACUAACUGACUAUAUUGCUAGAGCUUCCUUACAAGAUAUAAAGCAGCUGAAAAUUCCUUCUAGCAGAGUUAACAGUGAAUGCUGUUAACUGCCUGCACUGUUGUUUUGACGGCCACACAGAUAUUUUCUAAGCACAGUGCCAAGAAUCCAAGCUAUUUACAGAACGUUGAACAUAUGGCUCGGACUUUGUCUUGGCUUCGGAGGCGUGGAUGCUCAGAGAUCCAUAGGGUCACAGACACCUGUCUCAGAGCCUGGCUUUUAUGUUUCUGUUUCCCAGAAUUACAGCCACCACCUAGGUGCCUUUCUUUUCUGUAAAAUCCACCAAGGGACAGGGGUAGGUAGAGAGAGGUGGAAUGCAGACAGUCAGUAAAAGCCACCACCAUGAUAAAGGUGCAACAACUCCACAAAACAGAUUUUAAAGUUUGCCUUGAUUUGGGACUUGCCAGUAAGUAAGACUGACCCUGAGAAACAACAAGGAUUAUUUAUUAUAUGGAAGGAAGGAGCAUAAAGAGGUGUAGCAAAAGCAUCCUGGUCUAGAGCCAGGAGAGAAAACAGCAUUGCAGCAUUUGGUACCCUUCUGGCCUUGGGCAACCUGCUGCUCCCCAGGACACCAUCCUAAGGAGCAGACUAAAAAACCUUUAAGUUGGCUCAUUUUUGACUGAAGCCAUUGCACUUCGUGCAAGAGACUUCAAGACUCGUUAGCCCAGGAGAAAGAAGCCUUUUACACAGCUACUAGGGUACUCACCAGGAAGGAACAACAAGAAUUACAAAAUCUAAUUUAAAGGCCACUUAAUCCAGAAUAUCUGAACAAUCUUUAGAUAUUAAAAUGAACCACUCUAGCCCAUCCCCCAUCCCCUUGGAACAGGGACCAGAAUUUAGUAUCCUUAUCUCAUCUCAAAGGAAUCUGAUCACUAUCAACACCGCUCCCUGGUCAAUGUUUCUUUGUGACUUCUGAUGUUUAUACAACAGAUGCAUAUAGUGUAUUCAUAAGCACUGCCAGCUUUCCAAAUGUUCAUGAUGGGCAACAUCUGCCCCACUGUCUUAAGAGGAGAGUUUCUCAUCUGAUAUGCAAGACAACAAGCAGGAAGGCAAAGUUCCACAAAAGACCACUUUUAUAGGCAGCACAGCAGAAGGAGGAAUUUAGUAAAAGCAGAGAGAGCCAUCCUGAAAAAACACACCUCAGGAGGCAGAGUAAAUCCUCUCAGUCAGACAUCAAGAAGGCAAUGGGCAAUCCGGACCAACUGUUGUGGUGUUAGACUUGAACCUGCAAGUGCUACAGAUCAGCACGCAGAUGUGUGGACAUUGAUUAACUACGUACACAGUACAGAAUGAGACAAUUGGAAAAAAGAAA